rnacentral:rRNA from 1 species
GAUGAACGCUGGCGGCGUGCCUAAUACAUGCAAGUCGAGCGAACGGACGAGAAGCUUGCUUCUCUGAUGUUAGCGGCGGACGGGUGAGUAACACGUGGAUAACCUACCUAUAAGACUGGGAUAACUUCGGGAAACCGGAGCUAAUACCGGAUAAUAUUUUGAACCGCAUGGUUCAAAAGUGAAAGACGGUCUUGCUGUCACUUAUAGAUGGAUCCGCGCUGCAUUAGCUAGUUGGUAAGGUAACGGCUUACCAAGGCAACGAUGCAUAGCCGACCUGAGAGGGUGAUCGGCCACACUGGAACUGAGACACGGUCCAGACUCCUACGGGAGGCAGCAGUAGGGAAUCUUCCGCAAUGGGCGAAAGCCUGACGGAGCAACGCCGCGUGAGUGAUGAAGGUCUUCGGAUCGUAAAACUCUGUUAUUAGGGAAGAACAUAUGUGUAAGUAACUGUGCACAUCUUGACGGUACCUAAUCAGAAAGCCACGGCUAACUACGUGCCAGCAGCCGCGGUAAUACGUAGGUGGGCAGCGUUAUCCGGAAUUUAUGGGCGUNAAGCGCGCGUAGGCGGUUUUUUAGUCUGAUGUGAAAGCCCACGGCUCAACCGUGGAGGGUCAUUGGAAACUGGAAAACUUGAGUGCAGAAGAGGAAAGUGGAAUUCCAUGUGUAGCGGUGAAAUGCGCAGAGAUAUGGAGGAACACCAGUGGCGAAGGCGACUUUCUGGUCUGUAACUGACGCUGAUGUGCGAAAGCGUGGGGAUCAAACAGGAUUAGAUACCCUGGUAGUCCACGCCGUAAACGAUGAGUGCUAAGUGUUAGGGGGUUUCCGCCCCUUAGUGCUGCAGCUAACGCAUUAAGCACUCCGCCUGGGGAGUACGACCGCAAGGUUGAAACUCAAAGGAAUUGACGGGGACCCGCACAAGCGGUGGAGCAUGUGGUUUAAUUCGAAGCAACGCGAAGAACCUUACCAAAUCUUGACAUCCUUUGACAACUCUAGAGAUAGAGCCUUCCCCUUCGGGGGACAAAGUGACAGGUGGUGCAUGGUUGUCGUCAGCUCGUGUCGUGAGAUGUUGGGUUAAGUCCCGCAACGAGCGCAACCCUUAAGCUUAGUUGCCAUCAUUAAGUUGGGCACUCUAAGUUGACUGCCGGUGACAAACCGGAGGAAGGUGGGGAUGACGUCAAAUCAUCAUGCCCCUUAUGAUUUGGGCUACACACGUGCUACAAUGGACAAUACAAAGGGCAGCGAAACCGCGAGGUCAAGCAAAUCCCAUAAAGUUGUUCUCAGUUCGGAUUGUAGUCUGCAACUCGACUACAUGAAGCUGGAAUCGCUAGUAAUCGUAGAUCAGCAUGCUACGGUGAAUACGUUCCCGGGUCU